CAGAAAAAUCAGUCUCUUCACGUUUCUCUCGCGAGACUGGGUUGCUAUAUGUCACAAUUAAUCGUCCUAUCUAUUAUCAUCAUUACUGUACCUUCAUUAACACGGCAACAAUCUCUUGUACAAUGUCUAGAUUGAUGGCAUCCAGGUAGGAAUACCAAACCAGCUCCUAAAUCCAGGACAUCAUUGAAGAGCAACCAAUAACGCGUCAGCAGCGUCAGAGUGGAGCUGCCCUGGAUUCUAGAGCCCUGCGACUGCACCUCUACACGUCAUCCAGACAAGAGCAGCAACAUACAUUCCAGCUUCGGGAUUGCAAUCAUGAAAGUGGACUUGACAUGUCUAAUGUGGCUCAUGGCAUUGCAUGGACCGACUUUACAAGACAAGGUAACCCAGUGGCCAGCAUCGAUCUCUGCGAGGGAGGGAGAAGACAGGAUUGUCAAUUGUACUUACGAGCUCACCAUCAGUGGCGGUACUCAAUACCUACAAUGGUAUCGGCAGGACACGAACAGCGCCCCGAAAUAUAUAAUCCAGACGUACAAAACCGGGAGCGAAACACAUCAGAAUAAAACAAACGAAAGUGAAGAUCGUCUUUCAACAUCUCUUAACACUUCUGUCAAAUUUACCUCUUUGAAGAUCAUGAACCUCCGACUUGAUGACUCGGCAGUGUAUUACUGUGCUCUGCAUCCCACAGCGAUGCAGUUCAUUCAACAAGCUUAUCAAAAACAAGGUGCUCAUCUCAGAGCAGCUUUCCUUCAUCGUUUAUCACCACCAGUGUACUGCUGUUCAGCCAACAUUCCCUUAUACACGCUAAGAAAUAAUAGUAAUACAUAAAACAUUAAACAUUGCUUGGUUUCUUAACAGAACCAUUGAUCCACUAGAACCAUCAUUAAGGGGAAUCAAAGUCCAAGCUUUAUAACACGCUUUAUCAGUGAUACCGACUCAAAGAUAUAUUUCAUUGCAUCAUAACAUUAUAGGACCAUUGGAUUACACAGAGACCAACAUCAUAUUGAACCCUAAUAUUUGGAGAAGGGAAUGAAUGAAGCUUGAGCAAAGUGCAGAAUGUCAAGAAUGGAACAAACACACAAAGUACUAAUUAUAACUAUGGUGCGUUCAUUUUCAUUUCUUUAUAAAUGUCCCAUUAGAUGUGGAUAUAUACACAAAUAGGACAUACCUUUCUGAAGGUACCUGUGAAAAACAAAACAUAAUUUCUGUCCAUUAUGAGUUAUAUAAAGAACAUUUCUGCCCAGGAUGAAUUAUAUGUA